GUUAUAAAUACGGGGGUGAAGACUAUUAAAGUCAGUCACUGUUUGUCUUCCAUAAGACUUCGUACUUUUUAAGGAGACUUAAUAAUCAUUUUUCACAAAAGAAAGUUCAAUUAAAAUAAAAAUGUCAAAAUUUAUCCCGCUGUUUUUUUCGAUGGUUACCUUGGCCAGUGUUAUUAUGAAUUCAACUGGGCAGGAAGAGGAGGAGGGGCAGAAGGAGCAGGUGGAGGAGAAGGAAUGUCAACAAGAUAAUAGAUUAUGCACUCAAGAUGAAAAUUGCUGCAAUGGAAGUUGUGUUGGUAAAGAAGGUUCAGUGCUUAUGAGAUGUCAACCCAAAAGUUCUGAUGCAAAAUAAUUUCUAAUCACUUUUUAAUGUAUCUAACAUAUUUAUUGUAAGGUAACGAUAUACAUUAAUAGUAAAAAAUAAUAUUUUAUUUGAGUCAAAAA